GCCCGCCAGACUACUACAAGUAAAGCUUAAAACUCAAAGGACUUGACGGUGUCCCACACACAACCUAGAGGAGCCUGUCCUGUAAUCGAUGACCCACGAUAAACCUCUCCGUCUUUUGCCAAACAAUCUAUAUACCGCCGUCGCAAGUCCACCUUUUGAAAGAAAGGAAGUGGACAAAAAAGCCAUUCGCUAAUACGUCAGGUCAAGGUGUAGUUAAUAAGACGGCUAAAGAUGGGCUACACUCCCUUUUAUAAGGGAAGACGGAAGGCCUCAUGAAAAACUGCCUGAAGGCGGAUUUAGUAGUAAAAUAGAAUCAGCAAGCCUAUUUGAACACACUGCCCUGGGACGCGUACACACCGCCCGUCACCCCCAUCAACACCCAAUGCAACCUACAUAAAACCAGAGACUAAAAAGAUGGGGUAAGUCGUAACAUGGUAAGCGUACUGGAAAGUGCACUUAGAU
rnacentral:rRNA from 1 species